CCUACGAGCGACAGCAGUGGGGAAUAUUGGGCAAUGGGCGCAAGCCUGACCCAGCAACGCCGCGUGAGGGAAGAAGGCUUUCGGGUUGUAAACCUCUGUCCUUGGUGACGAAACAAAUGACGGUAGCCAAGGAGGAAGCCCCGGCUAACUACGUGCCAGCAGCCGCGGUAAUACGUAGGGGGCGAGCGUUGUCCGGAAUUACUGGGCGUAAAGGGUGCGUAGGCGGCCUUUUAAGUUGGAUGUGAAAUACCCGGGCUUAACUUGGGGGGUGCAGCUAAUACUGGUGGGCUAGAGUGCAGGAGAGGGAAGCGGAAUUCCUAGUGUAGCGGUGAAAUGCGUAGAUAUUAGGAGGAACACCAGUGGCGAAGGCGGCUUUCUGGACUGUAACUGACGCUGAGGCACGAAAGCGUGGGGAGCAAACA
rnacentral:rRNA from 1 species